UUUGCCCCAAGAUUACAAUCGAAUGCCACCGCAAGUUGGGUACCGGUUUGGCCUCUUCUAUUUUGUUCCUCUCCCAAGUCCCGACUCCCUUCGCGAGCGGCUUCCCCUGUCCACGCCAGACGCCGCCUUCCACCUAGGGUUCGCCGGCGGGCUCCCAACUCCGACCACCUUCCACCUCCGGUGAGUACCCCGCGCUCCCCACGUCCGCCGCCUCCAACAUCUCCCCUGGAUUCGACCUCAACUCGUCCCCAUGCAGGGCAACAGGAAGGGAGGCAAGGACGACGACGAUGACACCACGGGCCUCCGCAUCAACAACGCCAUCACCUCUCCCUUCGUCAGGCUCGUCCGAGAUGAAGGCCACAGUGUUGUCCCCAGGCAUGAAGCUCUGCAGCUAGCUGCCAGGAUGGGCAUGGACUUUAGUUGAGGUCGACAGAAAAUCAGACCCUCCUGUAUGUAAAAUCAUGGAUUUUCACAAAGAGAAGUAUAAAAAAGACACCAAGGAGAAAGAGCGUUUGAAAACCAAGGUAUUCUACACUUGUAGUGAAUUUUCUAUCUAUUUUUCAGCGAUAGGGAUUAGAACUGUACAUCAAUACAACUGUACUUUCAAUCAUGGGCAUCCAAGUUGUGCAACGAAUACAGUUUUAUUAUCAAAUGUAAACUCAUGUUAGUUGGCUAUUCUCUUGUAAUUCCCACUCUUGUAAUGUAUUAAUCAGAUCUUUACAAUACACAGAUAAAUUCUGAAUUUUCAUGAAAGCAGUUACAUCUUUUAGAUGGAUUGCUGUACAUAUACGUGUCCAUGUCAAUAGGAUAGGCACAAAUUGUUCUGUAAGGGGUGUGAUCACAAGCUAGGUACAUUCCUGAUCAAAAUGUGAAAACAGCCAGAAUUACUGGGUAUUCUUUUUUAGGUCUGCCAUCUCUUAACUUCUGCGGCAUUGAGGCUCUUAACUAUUAAGCAUUUAAGCUUGGAUCUAUGCAAAAGUGUUAACCAUAUUAUCUCCUACUGUAGUAAUUGUAUUUUUGCAUAGCUUAUGUCAUAGUGUACUUUGGAUCUUGUUGUGUACUUUGGAUCUAUGCCUGAUUUUUGCAGUCUGCUAUUGUCUUACGUGGUGGGGAGAACAAAGAAGUGCGAUAAGGGGAAAACAGUAUGUAAUUUUUUGCUUUUAUUAUUUAGGUUUCAGAUAUAGUGUGGCAUGCAGACUUUAUUAAUAAUGCCACAUAACUGGAGUAUAGGCUUGUUUGGACUGCUGUAAGCUUAUGUUCUGUUUAUUUGGAUCUAUAUGGACAAUUACACCCAAUGCCUAGUUGAACUUGAUCUACUUUUCUGGGGCAAAUUUCAAACAGUUCAACGGUUUUAUACAUUGUAAUCAUUAUGGAAACCUUGUGGCAUGCAUCUUUACGGACAAGAACUAACUUUUACGUGCAGGAACUAAAAGAUUUGAUGGUGAAAGCAGAUGCAAUUACCAGAUUAAUGGAGCGGGGUUACAGGGUGAAGAUAAAUACUACCUUGUGGACUCCGGUUAUCCAAACCGAAUUGGAUACCUUGCACCUUUUAAGGGGACUACAUACCAUAUUCUAGAAUUUUGUCAUCGUCGUGGACGUCCACCGCAAGGGAAGCAUGAGCUAUUUAACUUUUUACACUCCUCCCUCCGUAAUGUAAUUGAGCGAGCAUUUGGGGUUCUUAAGCAAAAAUGACGCAUGUUGAAAGCCAUGCCUAGUUUCUUAGCUCGACUACAGGCAAAAAUCAUUAUGGCUUGUUUUGCAUUGCACAAUUUCAUUCGAGACAGCUAGUUGCAUGAUAAGGACUUUGAAAGGUGUGACACAAAUGACGAAUAUAUGCCUGGAGCAUCAAAUGAUGAGGAUGUAACUGGAGAUGUUGACGAGGUAGAGGAAUGGAAUGAGGUUACCAUGAACAUCAUUCGUGAUAGGAUAGCUACCACACUAGCUAAUGCGAGAGCGACAUAGGAUAAUCAUCUAGUUGUCUUGUCUUUUGAGAUGAACAAUGCACUUAUUUAUAUAUGUAAUAUAUAAUUUCGUGAUAAACAUGUCAUCAAUGCAAAGUUCACAUCACUA